rnacentral:rRNA from 1 species
ACGCUCGACACCUACGGGAGGCGGCAGUGGGGAAUAUUGCACAAUGGGGGAAACCCUGAUGCAGCGACGCCGCGUGAGUGAAGAAGUAUUUCGGUAUGUAAAGCUCUAUCAGCAGGGAAGAAAAUGACGGUACCUGAGUAAGAAGCCCCGGCUAACUACGUGCCAGCAGCCACGGUAAUCUGAGCGGGCUGGCAAGGC